GCUGGCGUAGCUCAAUCGGUAGAGCAGCUGCUUUGUAAGCAGCCGGUUGUUGGUUCGAGUCCGAUCGCCAGCU
rnacentral:tRNA from 1 species